AGUGAACGCUGGCGGUAGGCCUAACACAUGCAAGUCGAACGGCAGCACAGUAAGAGCUUGCUCUUACGGGUGGCGAGUGGCGGACGGGUGAGGAAUACAUCGGAACCUACUUUUUCGUGGGGGAUAACGUAGGGAAACUUACGCUAAUACCGCAUACGACCUACGGGUGAAAGCAGGGGAUCUUCGGACCUUGCGCGAUUGAAUGAGCCGAUGUCGGAUUAGCUAGUUGGCGGGGUAAAGGCCCACCAAGGCGACGAUCCGUAGCUGGUCUGAGAGGAUGAUCAGCCACACUGGAACUGAGACACGGUCCAGACUCCUACGGGAGGCAGCAGUGGGGAAUAUUGGACAAUGGGCGCAAGCCUGAUCCAGCCAUACUGCGUGGGUGAAGAAGGCCUUCGGGUUGUAAAGCCCUUUUGUUGGGAAAGAAAAGCAGCAGGUUAAUACCCCGCUGUUCUGACGGUACCCAAAGAAUAAGCACCGGCUAACUUCGUG
rnacentral:rRNA from 1 species